AUUGAACGCUGGCGGCAUGCCUUACACAUGCAAGUCGAACGGCAGCACGGGUGCUUGCACCUGGUGGCGUGUGGCGAACGGGUGAGUAAUACAUCGGAACAUGUCCUGUAGUGGGGGAUAGCCCGGCGAAAGCCGGAUUAAUACCGCAUACGAUCUACGGAUGAAAGCGGGGGACCUUCGGGCCUCGCGCUAUAGGGUUGGCCGAUGGCUGAUUAGCUAGUUGGUGGGGUAAAGGCCUACCAAGGCGACGAUCAGUAGCUGGUCUGAGAGGACGACCAGCCAAACUGGGACUGAGACACGGCCCAGACUCCUACGGGAGGCAGCAGUGGGGAAUUUUGGACAAUGGGCGAAAGCCUGAUCCAGCAAUGCCGCGUGUGUGAAGAAGGCCUUCGGGUUGUAAAGCACUUUUGUCCGGAAAGAAAUCCUUGGCCCUAAUACGGUCGGGGGAUGACGGUACCGGAAGAAUAAGCACCGGCUAACUACGUG
rnacentral:rRNA from 1 species